rnacentral:rRNA from 1 species
UUCGUCCAAUUGAAAUAGAGGACAGUGGCGGACGGGUGAGUAACGCGUGAGUAACCUGCCUGCGAGAGGGGGAUAACAACGGGAAACUGUUGCUAAUACCGCAUAACGCAUCGAUUCCGCAUGGAGAUGAUGCCAAAGGGAAACCGCUUGCAGAUGGACUCGCGUCUGAUUAGGUAGUUGGUGAGGUAACGGCUCACCAAGCCGACGAUCAGUAGCCGGACUGAGAGGUUGAACGGCCACAUUGGGACUGAGAUACGGCCCAGACUCC